UAUGAUUAGUGGCGGACGGGUGAGUAACAUUUAGGAAUCUGCCUAGUAGUGGGGGAUAGCUCGGGGAAACUCGAAUUAAUACCGCAUACGACCUACGGGUGAAAGGGGGCGCAAGCUCUUGCUAUUAGAUGAGCCUAAAUCAGAUUAGCUAGUUGGUGGGGUAAAGGCCCACCAAGGCGACGAUCUGUAACUGGUCUGAGAGGAUGAUCAGUCACACCGGAACUGAGACACGGUCCGG
rnacentral:rRNA from 1 species